rnacentral:lncRNA from 1 species
GGGGGGCGAGUGUGAAGCUGGGCGCCUGGAGCCUAAGGCCAGCUGUCCCUCCCUGUGUCCUGGAGGAGGGGCCCUGUCCCAAAAAGACCCUCAGGGGCCUGGCCUAAAUUAUCCUUGAACCAGAAAAAAAAAUCCCCAAUUCAACACUCCAUUUUUGUGAAGAGCUGGUUCCGAAUUCUGGGUCACUUUUUGGAAAAAAUAUCUGUUGUGGUAAACAGUGCUGCAUCUGUGAUCUCAAGUCUCUACUGGAAUUGGAUAGAGAUGGUGAAUUUCAGCCAGAGCGCCCAAAGAACUCGUGUCCCGCGCUCCUGAACGCCAUCAGCCGCCGCACCUCCAUCUUCCCUCCUCCCACGAGUCUCCUGCUCCCCGUGACUCUGGCCUCCUCGCAGUGUUGCUGGGCCACGUCAGGAAGUGCUGGAGGACGUGGCAUUGCACCAACACCAGGCGGCCAGCCGUGUGGCUCAUCCCGCAAAUCAGGCUCUUCCUGUGCAUGGAGAUGGAGUCCCUCUGGAGGCAGCCCGUGGCCCUGUUCUCGGGCAGGUGGAGCAUGGAGACGACUGGGAACUUCACUAGACACGCAUCCAGCCGGUUCAAGGGCUUGUCGCGCCGUGCACCAGCUUGCAGGAGAAAGCCCAACGCCUCGCCAAGCACGAAGGCCUCCCUUCCCGACUUGAUGAAGGCAGAGUAGCGGUUGAGGUUGCGGCUCACAGUGACCGAGCUCCUGCCCACGUGGGGACCCAGGGAGCCGUCGAGCUCCAGCCCAGGCUUGGACCUGAAGAAGCUGGCAACCCGCGAACGCCAACAGGCACAGUCGAAAAAAGCAAAAGAAAAAUCCCAAACAAAAUCCUGUUCUCCCUAGCCAAAGGACCAGGAGAGGGGGCAGCCCAGCAAGACAAAACACAUUUACACAAUUCUGGCUAACCUCAGCCAGUCCUUGGCCGUGAGUUCGUUUUUCUGCCACCUCACUUUGGGGCUGGGCUGGUUCUCCACCCUCGCAGGGUGCGUUUCUCAAUCCAGACGCUGGGGGGCGCUAGUACCUCGCGAGCUCCGCGAGGAUCAUUCCCGGGACGCCGCGGAGUCACCUCCCCUCCUAGGGACCCAGAGCUUCCCAGGGCCGCGCCUGUAGGUUUUCCAGAGGUCCCCGAAAACGUUAAAGACCUGGAAGGAAAAAAAAACUGUAAAACCACACACUUUGAUAUUUGACAACGUAAAAGCAAGGCUGCAAAAUCAAAA